CUAGGGACCAGGAACAUUCAUACGUUUCAGGAAAAUGCACCGCCCCCCCGCGGUUGUUGAUUUUUGUUCUGUGUGAAUGAAUCAACUUCCUGUAUUUUCCUACAGAGCACUGCUAGUUCCUGCCGGAAGGAAAUGAGAUUCAAUUCUCUGGAGGGCAGCAAGUCCCUCUGCAGCCUGGAGACCUUACUGGAAACCCUGUUCAUUUCCUCCAAGUUUAUCUAAGCCAUGAAAGUUGCACAAAGAUAAACCCUAUGACGUUUGUCUUCUUACCAAAAAGCUAUCCACUUACUGUCUAGACAAACAGUGAACGGAAAGCUGUGAAGGGACUGCAGCAUGAAAACAACUCUUCUUUCAUUUGGUUUUCGCCUUCUCCUUAGGGACAGGACACUGGACGUCCUCUCUCAGCCAGUCAUCUCCCUUGGUGGGUGUGCUGCAUAGGACACGGAUUACUGCUUUCUGGUGCCAGACAGGCAGGACUGAAUCCCGGUUUCCUUACUUGCUAAACCUGUCAUCUUGGGUGAGUUACUUAAAUACUCCGAGAACAGUUUCUAA
rnacentral:lncRNA from 1 species